UACGAAGGGGGCUAGCGUUGCUCGGAAUCACUGGGCGUAAAGCGCACGUAGGCGGAUUGCUAAGUCAGGGGUGAAAUCCUGGAGCUCAACUCCAGAACUGCCUUUGAUACUGGCGACCUUGAAUCCAGGAGAGGUGAGUGGAAUUCCGAGUGUAGAGGUGAAAUUCGUAGAUAUUCGGAAGAACACCAGUGGCGAAGGCGGCUCACUGGACUGGUACUGACGCUGAGGUGCGAAAGCGUGGGGAGCAAACAGG
rnacentral:rRNA from 1 species